rnacentral:rRNA from 1 species
CUAAAAACCUAGCCCUAAUUUAUUAAAUAAAACAUCCCACUCCUUAACUCUUUAAUUAAAACAUUUUAACAACCUAGUAGAGGCGAUCGAAAAAUUUUUUAGCGCUAUACUGAUAGUACCGCAAGGGAAAGAUGAAAUAAUAAUGAAACAAAUUUUAAGCACAAAAUAGUAAAGAUUAUUCCCUGUACCUUUUGCAUCAUGGUUUAACUAGCCUAAUCAAGCAAAAAGAUUUAAAGUUUGACCCCCCGAAACUAAGCGAGCUACUUCAAGACAGCUAAAUGAGCAAACCCGUCUCUGUUGCAAAAGAGUGGGAAGACCUUCAAGUAGAGGUGAUAGACCUACCGAGCUUAGUGAUAGCUGGUUACUCAAGAAAAGAAUUUAAGUCCAACCUAAAAUU